CUGCGUGCUUAACACAUGCAAGUCGAACGCUGAAGCCCUGCACAGCUUGCUGGGGUGGAUGAGUGGCGAACGGGUGAGUAACACGUGAGUAACCUGCCCCUGACUUCGGGAUAAGCCCGGGAAACUGGGUCUAAUACCGGAUACGACCGUACGACGCAUGUCUGGUGGUGGAAAGUUAUUUCGGUUGGGGAUGGGCUCGCGGCCUAUCAGUUUGUUGGUGAGGUAAUGGCUCACCAAGACGACGACGGGUAGCCCGGCCUGAGAGGGCGACCGGCCACACUGGGACUGAGACACGGCCCAGACUCCUACGGGAGGCAGCAGUGGGGAAUAUUGCACAAUGGGGGAAACCCUGAUGCAGCGACGCAGCGUGCGGGAUGACGGCCUUCGGGUUGUAAACCGCUUUCAGCAGGGAAGAAGCCUUCGGGUGACGGUACCUGCAGAAGAAGUACCGGCUAACUACGUGCCAGCAGCCGCGGUAAUACGUAGGGUACGAGCGUUGUCCGGAAUUAUGAGGCGUAAAGAGCUCGUAGGUGGUUGGUCACGUCUGCUGUGGAAACGCAACGCUUAACGUUGCGCGUGCAGUGGGUACGGGCUGACUAGAGUGCAGUAGGGGAGUCUGGAAUUCCUGGUGUAGCGGUGAAAUGCGCAGAUAUCAGGAGGAACACCGGUGGCGUAAGGCGGGACUCUGGGCUGUAACUGACACUGAGGAGCGAAAGCAUGGGGAGCGAACAGGAUUAGAUACCCUGGUAGUCCAUGCCGUAAACGUUGGGCACUAGGUGUGGGGGGCAUUCCACGCUCUCCGCGCCGUAGCUAACUCAUUAAGUGCCCCGCCUGGGGAGUACGGUCGCAAGGCUAAAACUCAAAGGAAUUGACGGGGGCCCGCACAAGCGGCGGAGCAUGCGGAUUAAUUCGAUGCAACGCGAAGAACCUUACCAAGGCUUGACAUACACUGAACCGGUCUGGAAACAGUCCUUCCCCUUUGGGGUUGGUGUACAGGUGGUGCAUGGUUGUCGUCAGCUCGUGUCGCGAGAUGUUGGGUUAAGUCCCGCAACUGGCGCAACCCUCGUUCUAUGUUGCCAGCACGUGAUGGUGGGAACUCAUAGGAGACUGCCGGGGUCAACUCGGAGGAAGGUGGGGAUGACGUCAAAUCAUCAUGCCCUUUAUGUCUUGGGCUUCACGCAUGCUACAAUGGCUGGUACAGAGAGAGGCGAACCCGUGAGGGCAAGCGAAUCCCUUAAAGCCAGUCUCAGUUCGGAUCGUAGUCUGCAAUUCGACUACGUGAAGUCGGAGUCGCUAGUAAUCGCAGAUCAGCAACGCUGCGGUGAAUACGUUCCCGGGCCUUGUACACACCGCCCGUCAAGUCACGAAAGUCGGUAACACCCGAAGCCGGUGGCCUAACCCCUUGUAUGCACGUACU
rnacentral:rRNA from 1 species